GGAGUUAGCCGGUGCUUCUUCUGUGAGUGAUGUCCUUCCUGCCGGCUAUUAACCCGCAGGCCUUCUUCCUCACUGAAAGUGCUUUACAACCCGAAGGCCUUCUUCACACACGCGGCAUGGCUGGAUCAGGGUUGCCCCCAUUGUCCAAUAUUCCCCACUGCUGCCUCCCGUAGGAGUCUGGGCCGUGUCUCAGUCCCAGUGUGGCUGAUCAUCCUCUCAGACCAGCUACGGAUCGUCGCCUUGGUGAGCCGUUACCUCACCAACCAGCUAAUCCGACAUAGGCUCAUCCGAUAGCGCGAGGCCCGAAGGUCCCCCGCUUUCCCCCGUAGGGCGUAUGCGGUAUUAGCCUGGGUUUCCCCAGGUUAUCCCCCACUACCGGGCAGAUUCCUAUGCAUUACUCACCCGUCCGCCGCUCGCCACCAGGGAGCAAGCUCCCCGUGCUGCCGCUCGACUUGCAUGUGUUAGGCUCGCCGCCACGCGUUCAUCUGAGCCGACGGAUACAAACUACUCGA
rnacentral:rRNA from 1 species